GAACAACUGUCAGACUGAGUGUUGAACAUCGUCAGUUGCUCCUGUUGACUGAAACCGUGUUGUACAGAUGGAACAUUGUCUGUGGAUUAUUGCUGCUGCUCUGGUCUUUGAGUGUAAAGCACAAGACAGAGUGGUGCAGCCAGCAGGAGAUGUCACUGCUACUGAAGGAGACACACUUACACUUGGUUGUACAUUUCAGACCAGUGACUCAAAUCCUUAUCUCUACUGGUACAAACAGGAUGGAAACAACAGACCCACAUUCAUCCUGAGUCACUUUACAGUGGGUGAAGGUAAAACAGAAGACGACUUCAGGGAGAGAUUUUCAUCCACUCUGGAUUCCACCUCAAGAUCAGUUCCUCUGCAGAUCCAGAAGCUCCAGCUGUCUGACUCUGCUGUGUACUACUGUGCUCUGAGGCCCACAGUGACAGGAAACAACACAACUCUGUACAAAAACCUCUGCAGCAAACAAGUCAAUACUCCACAUGGUCCACUAGAGGGAGUCACACCCUGUCACACCUCAGUGUUUCUCUUCAUCCAGAUUCUUCUUGGUGAAGAUUCACACCAGAGAGAAUGAACAACUAAAGCCGUGAUUUUUUUGGGGUGUACCACAGGGUUCAAUCCUGGGUCCUCUCAUGUUCUGUUAUAAAAUACAUCAAAGUCCAGUAAUUAUGGCAGAAGGAUUGUUUGAAGUCUUACUGUCACAGUCAGCUCACCUUCAUGCCCAGUAGGUUCCCACGUCACCUCCCCUCUGUCCCGCACGAGCAAUCAGCUACACCCACCUCAGCAUCCCGGUAAAGACCUCGGUCUUCUGCCCCGACUCCGAGCCUUGCCUGUGUACUGACGAUUUCCUGGUUGGUGUCAUCCACCGGGACAGUUUCAUUGGCGUUGUCUGCUCGCCGGCAGUUUGUGAACAAUAAAGCUGAUUACCAACAUA